UGUGACCUGAGAGCCCUGGCACAAAGCCCUGUCCCUGCCGGUGCUGAGCUGCAGCUCCUCGGGAGCCGGGCUGGGAGCACAGCCCGAGCUCCAGCGCACGGAAACGCUCCCAGGGAAGCUCCAGCUCGGCUGGACCAGCAGUGUCUGCCUGCAUUACAAUGAGGAAUGCCCCGAGCUGUUUGUCUCCAGAAUCAUGAAAAUCCACCCGAGAGAACAGCAACAGUGUGAGCCCACCAAAGGAACCUUUGGAAAAAGCCUUCCAAAGGCUUUUAUUCAUUAACUUCAAUGAGUGUUGCUCAGGAGCUGAACUCUGGGAUGCUGAGGACAUUUGGCACCCUGGACCAUCAUUACAGUUAUUUCAGCAGCUCCCCAAGGGCCACAUUGAAGCCUUUACCACUCCACAGCCCCAUUCCCCAGGUGAUGCCCAUGAGCUGCAGCCUCUGCCCCCACCGCCUCCUGCCCUGACCAUCAGAUGUCCUGGAUGAAGGACAAGGAACCUUUUUUUCCUGGAAAUAAAUGGUAAUCAGAAUAAA